UACGUAGGGUGCAAGCGUUGUCCGGAAUUAUUGGGCGUAAAGAGCUCGUAGGCGGUCUGUCGCGUCUGCUGUGAAAACUCGGGCUUAACCCCGGGCCUGCAGUGGGUACGGGCAGACUAGAGUGCGGUAGGGGAGACUGGAAUUCCUGGUGUAGCGGUGAAAUGCGCAGAUAUCAGGAGGAACACCGAUGGCGAAGGCAGCCCCCUGGGCCGACAUUGACGCUCAGG
rnacentral:rRNA from 1 species